UGCGACGGUCCGGCUCCUGCCGCCGGCCUCUUCCUCACGGCAUGCUGACGAAUGUCGGCAGCCGACAGUCGCGUCCUCGGUGGCAUAUCUGAAAAAAUAUGACGAAUGGUCAGAGCAAAGGAAAAGGGCAGAAAAGAAAAUAAAGAUGUCGGAAAAAUGCAAACCGACCUAAACGGGGGACCGGGCUAAGGCCGGCGUCAUACAAGGCCUGCUCGGUGAUGAGCUCGCUCUGCUUCGGCACCGAGAUGUCCUUCAGCCGAUGGAAGUCCUCCCGAUCACCGACCUCCACCCGACUGUUCUCAUUAGGAUCGGUUCGGGGAUUCCCCCAACGGGCGGAAAACCCCCAGGGAGCAGAGGACGACGCGAAGAAGAACUGGUUCUUCCAUCCGUGAAUGGACGUCGGAAGACCAGUGAUGAAGGAAAGCCCUUUUCGAGGGACAAAGUACCACCACCCUCGGGCUUUAGGGUGGGGUCGGAGGACAAAGAAAACUCGGAAAAGAGAAACCC
rnacentral:lncRNA from 1 species